GUCUGGCCGCAGUGUGGAAGAUGAACUGGGGGCAGAGGGCGGACAGGAGAGAAAUCGGAAUACCGAUGAGCAAUGUGGACCAGGAUAAGGUCCGGGGCCAGAGACGUAACAUUGAGAAGUGAGAGGUGACAGAAGCCCACAUCCUGUCCACAGAAAUACAACAAAGGCCUCUCACCCUUUCUUGUACGAAAGACCGCUCUUGUCCAGGGGUGCACUGGACUUUGUAAAAUGUGUGCGACGAUCUGGUCGCUGCAGGUAAUUCGAUCCCCAGACCAAAAUCGGGCUGUAGCAAACUUUGGACUUCAACCCAGCCUAACCAGGGGAUUCGGGACCACGCGAGCGGCUAGAUGUCGGACAGCGGCGGCCACCCAAGCCGGGCCAGAAAAUGGCGGAGAUUGGUGAGCAGCAGCCAGACACCCUCCUUUCCUGUAUCUACUGGGCUCCCAUUCCGAGGGCAGAACUGGAGGGGCCCCAGGGAUCAUGCAGCCCAACCCUCUCAAUUCACAGUCAGGGGGACUGAGGCCUGGAGAGGGGAUGGUCGCCUCGGUGUUGAUUUCUCCUCUCCUCGGGAAGCCAGCUCCCAACAGAUGGUCAGGGCUGAAAGGGGGGGGGGGGUCCCUCCGAGGUCGCCCAGCACCCGCACUUGGCUGAUGAGGACAGCAGAGCUCCAGGAAUUCCCCAAGGCAUGAGAAACAGGAUGGACAGCCUUUCAAAGGGCUCUCGAUCCUUGGAAAUGCCAAGAAACCUCAUCUUCCCAGGGCAGCGGUUUCCAAACUUUUGUAUUUUUAGCAGCAGAAGCCAUCCUCCAAACAAACCUUAUGCAAAACCUAAAGCUGCAAACACAUCAGUGGGGGGGGGGGGGGGGGGGCGGCACGCACAUGUGCAGCCGGGGCCCGGCCCCGGACUCCCCCCCCCACAGCACCCAAGACUGCUUCCACAGGACACUACGUGAAGCUCAGUCUACAACCCCAGGCUCUCGGGGGCCUCGUAGCCCUGAAGCUGAAGCAGCCAGACAGGGUUAAUGGAGCCAUAGGUCUUCCUGGAGCCCCUGCCAGGGACGAAGGUGGGCCGGCGGUACAGCUCGCCCUUGCACAGGGAGACCAUCAGCAGCACUGACAAGAGGAUGCCACCCACUGUGAGCAGCCCCAGGCCCGCGAUGAUGCACUUGUCCAGGGCCCAGAUUAAAGGGGAAUCGGGUUCAAGUGGGAUCGAGUGAGGUACCCAGAGCACAAAAGUGAAAGUGACACUCUCGGUUCCUGGAGGUUGGGAACAAGACCCGAGUUCCGGCUGAAGAUCAUGGAUCCCCAGGAAGACUGAGGCCAGCUCACUUGCCUGUCCUCAGCUAGGACCUCUCACCUCUCAUUUAUCUACUCCGGACCAUCAGCAAGCCAGGUCACUGCAGCGCCCACUCGCUCGCUCGCUCACUCGCGGGCCAAAGCUUGUUCUCACCCUCCAAGCAGUGAGAGCCACUGAUCCGUACCCACAACCCCAGUCUACUUAUGAGAUAAACAUCAGACAAAUCCCAGUUGAGGCACAUUCUGCAGAAUGCCUGACCACUUCUCAGGACUGUCAAGGUCAUCCAAAACAAGGAAAGCCUGAGGAACUGUCACAGCCAAGAGGAGCCUAAAGAGACAUGUCGUGUGGUAUCCUGGCCAGAAAAAGGACACUGGUGAACACUAAGGAACUCUGAGUGCAAAGGUGUUGGCUCCCAUGAGGCCCCCACUGACAGAAGUGCCUGGUGCUAGCAUUCUUCGAGUGCCUCGCUAGCAAGCUAAGGUUCCUGUCCUGUAUCCUUCAGAGUAGGUCAACGUCAGGUGUGGCUUGUGGUCAUCUGUGGAAUCUGAGUGUGUAGUCAGACCUGAGGAGACCCCUUCUGCACACUGCCG